GAUGAACGCUGGCGGCGUGCCUAAUACAUGCAAGUCGAGCGAACAGAUGAGGAGCUUGCUCCUCUGACGUUAGCGGCGGACGGGUGAGUAACACGUGGAUAACCUACCUAUAAGACUGGGAUAACUUCGGGAAACCGGAGCUAAUACCGGAUAAUAUAUUGAACCGCAUGGUUCAAUAGUGAAAGACGGUUUUGCUGUCACUUAUAGAUGGAUCCGCGCCGCAUUAGCUAGUUGGUAAGGUAACGGCUUACCAAGGCGACGAUGCGUAGCCGACCUGAGAGGGUGAUCGGCCACACUGGAACUGAGACACGGUCCAGACUCCUACGGGAGGCAGCAGUAGGGAAUCUUCCGCAAUGGGCGAAAGCCUGACGGAGCAACGCCGCGGGAGUGAUGAAGGUCUUCGGAUCGUAAAACUCUGUUAGUAGGGAAGAACAAAUGUGUAAGUAACUAUGCACGUCUUGACGGUACCUAAUCAGAAAGCCACGGCUAACUACGUG
rnacentral:rRNA from 1 species